rnacentral:rRNA from 1 species
AUUGAACGCUGGCGGCAUGCCUUACACAUGCAAGUCGAACGGCAGCAUGGGUGCUUGCACCUGAUGGCGAGUGGCGAACGGGUGAGUAAUGCAUCGGAACGUACCCGGAAGUGGGGGAUAACGUAGCGAAAGUUACGCUAAUACCGCAUAUUCUGUGAGCAGGAAAGUGGGGGAUCGCAAGACCUCGCGCUUCCGGAGCGGCCGAUGUCGGAUUAGCUAGUUGGCGGGGUAAAGGACCACCAAGGCAACGAUCCGUAGCGGGUCUGAGAGGAUGAUCCGCCACACUGGGACUGAGACACGGCCCAGACUCCUACGGGAGGCAGCAGUGGGGAAUUUUGGACAAUGGGGGCAACCCUGAUCCAGCCAUGCCGCGUGAGUGAAGAAGGCCUUCGGGUUGUAAAGCUCUUUCGGCCGGGAAGAAAUCGUACGGGUUAAUACCCUGUGCGGAUGACGGUACCGGCAUAAGAAGCACCGGCUAACUACGUGCCAGCAGCCGCCGUAAGAC